UACAGAGGGCUCAAGCGUUGUUCGGAAUUACUGGGCGUAAAGGGUGCGCAGGCCGCGCGGGCAGUCAAAUGUGUAAUUCAGGGGCUCAACCCCUGCACUGCGCUUGAUACUUCCGCGCUCGAGCUUUGGAGAGGAGUCUGGAAUUCUCGGUGUAGCAGUGAAAUGCGUGGAUAUCGAGAAGAACACUUAGGGCGUAGGCAAGACUCUGGACAAAUGCUGACGCUCAUGCACGAAGGCUAGGGUAGCGAACGGG
rnacentral:rRNA from 1 species